UGGUGAUCCGAUUUACUCGGUGAGCUGGAGGUGGCCGCAGAGACCAGCGAGAAGCGACUGUUUACUAAAAACACAGGUCCGUGCGAAGCCGUAAGGCGAUGUAUACGGACUGACGCCUGCCCGGUGCUGGAACGUUAAGGGGACCGGUUAGUCACAUUUCGGUGUGGCGAAGCUGAGAACUUAAGCGCCAGUAAACGGCGGUGGUAACUAUAACCAUCCUAAGGUAGCGAAAUUCCUUGUCGGGUAAGUUCCGACCUGCACGAAUGGCGUAACGACUUCUCGACUGUCUCAACCAUAGGCCCGGUGAAAUUGCACUACGAGUAAAGAUGCUCGUUUCGCGCAGCAGGACGGAAAGACCCCGGGACCUUUACUACAGUUUGAUAUUGGUGUUCGGUUCGGCUUGUGUAGGAUAGCUGGGAGACUUUGAAGCUCGGACGCCAGUUCGGGUGGAGUCGUCGUUGAAAUACCAGUCUGGUCGUGCUGGAUGUCUAACCUGGGUCCGUGAUCCGGAUCAGGGACAGUGUCUGAUGGGUAGUUUAACUGGGGCGGUUGCCUCCUAAAGAGUAACGGAGGCGCCCAAAGGUUCCCUCAGCCUGGUUGGCAAUCAGGUGGUGAGUGUAAGUGCACAAGGGAGCUUGACUGUGAGACCGACGGGUCGAGCAGGGACGAAAGUCGGGACUAGUGAUCCGGCGGUGGCUUGUGGAAGCGCCGUCGCUCAACGGAUAAAAGGUACCCCGGGGAUAACAGGCUGAUCUUCCCCAAGAGUCCAUAUCGACGGGAUGGUUUGGCACCUCGAUGUCGGCUCGUCGCAUCCUGGGGCUGGAGUCGGUCCCCAGGGUUGGGCUGUUCGCCCAUUAAAGCGGUCCGCGAGCUGGGUUUAGAACGUCGUGAGACAGUUCGGUCCCUAUCCGCUGCGCGCGCUGGAAUAUUGAGAAGGGCUGUCCCUAGUACGAGAGGACCGGGACGGACGAACCUCUGGUGUGCCAUUUGUCCUGCCAAGGGCAUGGCUGGUUGGCUACGUUCGGGAGGGAUAACCUCUGAAAGCAUCUAAGCGGGAAGCCUGCUUCGAGAUGAGUAUGCCCACCCACUUGAUGGGGUAAGGCUCCCAUUAGACGUCUGUGUUGAUAGGCCAGAUAUGGAAGCCUUGUAACGGGUGGAGUUGACUGGUACUAAUAGGCCGAGGGCUUGUCCUC
rnacentral:rRNA from 1 species